rnacentral:rRNA from 1 species
GCUAAAAAUCUAGCUCUACCUCCUCACAUGUAAACUUCCCCCUAUUUUUACUAAACUAAAACAUUUCUACAGUUCAGUAAAGGAGAUUAAAAAACUUAUUGAAGCAAUAUAACUUGUACCGCAAGGGAAAGAUGAAAUAUUAAUGAAAAUCUUUAAGCAAAAAAUAGUAGAGCUUCUCCCUCGUACCUUUUGCAUCAUGGUUCAACUAGUCUAAUCAAGCAAAAAGCAUUGUAGUUUGACCCCCCGAAACUAGACGAGCUACUUCAGGGCAGCUUUAUGAGCCAACCCGUCUCUGUGGCAAAAGAGUGGGAAGACCCCCAAGUAGAGGUGAUAUACCUAACGAGUCUAGUGAUAGCUGGUUACUCGAGAAAAGGAUUUAAGUCCACCCUAAAGUCCACUUAAUAAACUAAAAUUCUCUGACUUUAGAGCAAUUCAAAUAAGGUACAGCCUAUUUGAAACAGGAAACAACCUCAUCAGAUGGGUAAAAUUUUUUCUUGACCCCCAAGUAGGCCUAAAAGCAGCCACCCUUUUAAAAAGCGUCACAGCUUAGUCUCCCUAUUCCUCUAAUCCCUUACCACUAUUUUAACCCUCUCUCCCACUACCGAGUAAUCCUAUACUAUUAUAGAAUAUUUUAUGUUGAAACUAGUAAUAAGAAGAAAGACCUUCUCUUAAAUGCAAGUAUAAAUCAGAAAGGACAAACCACUGACAAUUAACGCCCAUGACCCCCUUUAGCAACUUUCACCCCAAGAAAACCCUAAUAACCACCCACGUUAACCUGACACAAGAGCAUUUCAAGAAAGAUUAAAAGGAAAAGAAGGAACUCGGCAAAUAUUGACCCCGCCUGUUUACCAAAAACAUCGCCUCUUGAAUAAAAAUAAGAGGUCCAGCCUGCCCAGUGACAAAUGUUCAACGGCCGCGGUAUCCUAACCGUGCAAAGGUAGCGUAAUCACUUGUUCUUUAAAUGAGGACUAGUAUGAAUGGCACCACGAGGGUUGCACUGUCUCCUUUCCCUAAUCAAUGAAACUAAUCUCCCCGUGAAGAAGCGGGGGUACUACUAUAAGACGAGAAGACCCUAUGGAGCUUUAAAUUUCUCUUCAAACGCCAGACACAUAAACAUCUGACACUUUACAUUAACCCGACGCCUUGAAGAUGAAUUUUAGGUUGGGGUGACCACGGAGAACAAAAUAACCUCCACGCUGAAAAGGCCUCUAAGCCUUGAGCCGAGGACUACAACCCAACGCACUAAAAAAUUAACACCCAUUGACCCAAUAUUUUUGAUCAACGAACCAAGUUACCCUAGGGAUAACAGCGCAAUCUACUUCAAGAGUCCCUAUCGACAAGUGGGUUUACGACCUCGAUGUUGGAUCAGGGUAUCCCAGUGGUGCAGCCGCUACUAAAGGUUCGUUUGUUCAACGAUUAAAACCCU